AUGCACGACACGGAAGGCCUGUCGUUCAUGAAGCAUGGUUGUGUCUUCAGUGCGCCCCACCGGAUGAACGACAUGCUGGGACACGCUAUCCCUGAUUUAUGCCGCGUCAGCUUGGAUGAGUCUCCAUCGUGUGGAACCGGACUAGAAAGCCGCAACAAUGAUUCCCGUUGCCCACCACUAUGGAUCGUGCCAUCCAUGAAGGACACCUGGGACUGGAACCUGGAGGAGGACAUGUACCCCAUCUAUAACGUCAGACGCAAAUGCGCUGGCCUUCAUGAUUCCAGGACCUGGAAUCAUACCAGCCGAUGGGUGUCGAACAAGGAUUGGCCGGUGCUGCCGGCUGGCGUCAAGUUUGAUCCCACGGAUCAGGAGCUGAUCGAGCACCUUGAGGCCAAAGUGAGUGCUGACAGCGCGAGAUCUCACCCUCUCAUCGAUUUGUUCAUACCAACCAUCGACAGCGAGCACGACAUAUGCUACACCCAUCCUGAGAAACUUCCAGGUAUCACACUGAGUGGCCUAAGGAAGCAUUUCUUCCAGCGCAAUUCCAGGGCGUUCAAAAGGGGCACGUGGAUGCGUCGCAAGAUACAGUCUGAGUGCGGCAUGAACGCGAUGUGGCACAACACUGGCAAUACCUUGCUGGUGAUGGUCAACGACCGGCAAACGGGCAGCAAAAAGGUUCUGGUGCUGCACACCAACAAGAACUUCGACCAGCAGAGGACCCAUUGGGUGAUGCACCAGUACAACCUCGGGGACCUGGAGCAAGAGAAGGAGCGGGAGCUGGUCCUCUGCAAGAUUUUCUACCAGACGAACACUAGGGCCAGGAGUAAAAAGAUUAUAAGUUAG
rnacentral:rRNA from 1 species